rnacentral:rRNA from 1 species
UACGUAGGGGGCAAGCGUUAUCCGGAAUGAUUGGGCGUAAAGCGUCCGCAGGUGGCAGUUCAAGUCUGCUGUCAAAGACCGGGGCUUAACUUCGGAAAGGCAGUGGAAACUGAACAGCUAGAGUAUGGUAGGGGCAGAGGGAAUUCCUGGUGUAGCGGUGAAAUGCGUAGAGAUCAGGAAGAACACCAAUGGCGAAAGCAGCUUUCUGGGACGGUACUGACGCUGAGACGCGAAAGCGUGGGGAGCAAACAGG